AAUUUGCGUAUUCAAAUAUGCAAAAGUAACAUAGACAGUUAUGCUAUAUAUUCACUUGAAUGUAAGGAUGUAGCAAGUGUAUACACACUAUUAAUGUGUUCCUUGUUUCUCGCCUAUUUGUUGAUAUCUUGUCCUCUUGACAUUUUACUUCACUUCAUUUCUGGCAUUGAGAGCGUGUGGUUUAUAAAAUCUUUAUUGUUAUGGGCCCAGACACAACUACAGUGAAUAAGUAAAGCAUACCUAUAUACAUUUAAUCAAUUCGCGAGUUUUUUUUUUCUGGAAACGCUUUGACAAAUUAGCCGCAAAUCACCACGUAGCGGCAGGACGGUGUUACAAGAUAGUACUACUGUUGAGAAACGUUAUUGCUGUAAGAAGUUGCUGGAAAUUGUGGCUGUGAAAUUUGCUUUUGUGUGAUAGAAUCUUACAAUGGAUAAAGGGAAAAGAAAUAUCAAACCGUUUGACGGUGAGAAAUAUUCAAUAUGGAAGUUUAGAAUGAGAGCGUUGCUGGAAGAGCAUGAUCUUCUGAAGGUUAUAGAUGAAACGCAUGAAAAAGUGACUGAUGAGAUAAAAAAGGCAGAACGAAAUGCAAAAGGUUUAAUAAUUGAAUACCUAAGUGAUGCAUUUCUAUCUUUCACUAACAGUGAGAGCACUGCUAAGCAAAUUUUUGCAAAUUUAGAUGCAAUUUACGAGAGAAGAAGCUUGGCAUCACAACUAUCUCUGCGAAAAAAACUUUUAGCCAUGGAGUUAAAAGGAGCAAAAUUAGAUGAUAUGGAUAAAAUUUCCCAUUUUGAUGGAAAUUGAUGGUGUUAUAAAGGCAAUAGAGACUCUAUCAGAAGAUAACUUGACAUUGGCUUUUGUAAAAACACGACUUCUUGACCAAGAAAUAAAGCUUCGGAAUAUUAGUAAGGAUACGAGUACUAAAGUCUUGCAAGCAGUAGGUAACAAGGAGUUCAAAUAUGCAAAAUUUAACAAUAAU